CUUAUUUUGAGAUUUCAAAAUUGGACAUCCAUGUAUUCACAACCAUCGAUCUUUUUCCCACGAUAUCCUCAAACUGAACCUAAACAGUCUGUAGAAAUUGAUGAUUAUUUGAGGAAAUCGCAAAUAUCAAUAAUUAGAAAUCCAAUAUAUUAUCAACCCUUAUCAAAUAUUUGGGUGAUUCUGGAAAAACAAGAAUUGGUUUGUUGCAGAUUUGUGGAGUUUUGCGGUUUUAGGGGUUUUUAGCCAUCGCCUAGAUCAUCAAAAGUCACCAGGGCUGAUGGGAUGUCUGAAAGAUUUGGGCUACUAGCUGUAAUUGGAGCAUAUGUGAAGGAAAAUAGUAUUAAGGUUCAGUUGGAAACUGGUAUAUAACUCACCAUUUAAAUUCAUUCUAGUGUUGGAAAUAUAUAUUUUUAUAUUCUUUUGCAAUGGGUUAAUUUAACAAAUAUAUGUUUACUUUUUA